rnacentral:rRNA from 1 species
CAGAUGAUGUAGGGUAGAGGAGCGUUCCGCCCAGGGGGAAGCCAAGCGCGUAAGCCGCGGUGGACAGGGCGGAAGUGAGAAUGUCAGCUUGAGUAACGCAAACAUUGGUGAGAAUCCAGUGCCCCGAAAACUCAAGGGUUCCUGCGCAAGGCUCGUCCGCGCAGGGUCAGUCAGGACCUAAGGUGAGGCCGAAAGGCGUAAUUGAUGGCAAGAAGGUUUAUAUUCCUUCACUAGUCUAGGCUUAGUCCUGAGGGACGAACAAAUAACACUCGGCACAAUGGCCUUCCAUGGUAGGAAGGGUCAAACCAUUGUUGUUUGAUGGUAUUUUUUCCAAGAAAAGCUCAUUCGACUUUGAGUCUAGACUACCUGUACCGUAAACCGACACAGGUGAGUGGGUUGAAUAAACUAAGGGGAGCGAGAUAACUCUCUCUAAGGAACUCGGCAAAUUGGCUCUGUACCUUCGGAAGAAAGAGUGCCCCUUCAUGGGGCCGCAGUGAAGAGAUCCAGGCGACUGUUUACCAAAAACACAGGUCUCCGCAAAGUCGUAAGACGACGUAUGGGGGCUGACACCUGCCCAGUGCCAGAAGGUUAAAGAAGUUGGUCAAUCUUUGAUGAAGCUAACGACUGAAGCCCUGGUGAACGGCGGCAGUAACUAUAACUGUCCUAAGGUAGCGAAAUUCCUUGUCGGGUAAGUUCCGACCCGCACGAAAGGUGUAACGAUCUGGAUACUGUCUCAGAGAGAGACUCGGUGAAAUAAAACUAUCUGUGAAGAUGCGGAUUACCUGCACACGGACAGAAAGACCCUAUGAAGCUUUACUGUAACCUGGAAUUGCUCUCAAGCUUAUCUUGCGCAGCUUAGGUGGGAGGCUAUGAACCUUUUCUUCUGGGAAGAGGGGAGCCAUCAGUGAGAUACCACUCUUGGUAAGCUAGAGCGCUCAGUCUUCACCGUCAUCCGGUAAGACGACAGUUUCAGGCGGGCAGUUUGACUGGGGCAGUCACCUCCCAAAAGGUAAUGGAGGUGUGCAAAGGUUCCCUCAGGCUGGACGGAAAUCAGCCAUAGAGUGUAAAAGCAAAAGGGAGCUUGACUGCGAGACUGACAUGUCAAGCAGAGACGAAAGUCGGCUUUAGUGAUCCGACGGUGCUGUGUGGAAAGGCCGUCGCUCAACGGAUAAAAGUUACUCUAGGGAUAACAGGCUAAUCUCCCCCAAGAGUUCACAUCGACGGGGAGGUUUGGCACCUCGAUGUCGGCUCGUCGCAUCCUGGAGCGGAAGUACGUUCCAAGGGUUGGGCUGUUCGCCCAUAGAAAGCGGCACGCGAGCUGGGUUCAGAACGUCGUGAGACAGUUUGGUCCAUAUCCUGUGUAGGCGUUUAGAGCAUUGAAAGGAUCUCCCCUUUGUACGAGAGGACCAGGUGGGGACAGACCGCUAGUGUACCAGUUAUCCCACCAGGGGUAAACGCUGGGUAGCUAUGUCUGGAGUAAAUAACUGCUGAAAGCAUAUAAGUAGGAAGUUCACCUUAAGAUGAGUGCUCUUUUGUCUCAACCGUUCAGUUUUACUGACAAAUGAAAGACAAGGAAGGUCACGGCAAGACGAGCCGUUUGAUAGGCAUGAAGUAGAAGUGCAGUAAUGCAUUCUGAAGCUGACAUGUGCUAAUAGACCGAGGGAUUUGAUUUU